AGUAGUGUGGCAUCGUGUUUUGAGUGUUGGACUACGACUCUGGAGUCCAGGGUUCAAUUCCCAGCUCAGCCA